rnacentral:rRNA from 1 species
GACGAACGUUGGCGGCGUGCUUAAUACAUGCAAGUCAACUGAAGCAGUGGUAGCAAUAUCGCUGUGGAGGUGGCGCACGGGUGAGUAACACGUAGGUAAUCUGCCUUCAGGUCUGGCAUAACUCCGGGAAACCGGGGCUAAUAGCAGAUGAUGCAGCGGCUCGACAUCGAGACAGUUGUUAAAGCUAUGGCGCCUGAAGAUGAGCCUGCGUCUGAUUAGCUAGUUGGCGGGGUAACGGCCCACCAAGGCAACGAUCAGUAGCUGGUCUGAGAGGAUGAUCAGCAACACUGGAACGGAGACACGGUCCAGACUCCUACGGGAGGCAGCAGUAAGGAAUAUUGCUCAAUGGGAGAAAUCCUGAAGCAGCAACGCCGCGUGAGGGACGAAGGGCUUUUGCUUGUAAACCUCUGUAGUGAGAGAAAAAAAUCCCAAUCUUUGGGACAUGAUGGUAUCUCAAAAGUAAGCCCCGGCUAACUACGUG